GGAAGGAUCAUUAACAAAUCAACAAUCACGCUGCCGUGGGAUUGCCGUGGGCAUAACAUUUGGAACGGCCGAGGGAUUCAGAUGCACUGGGGGGUUGCCGUGGGGAUGCCGUGGGGAUGCAGUGGGAUCGCCGUGGGGAUGCAGUGGGAUCGCCGUGGACAUGCAGUGGGGCUUGCAGUGGGUUGUCUGGGGGAUCAAAUGGGGGUAGGCAUAUGGCAUGGUGGGCAUUUUUAAUGCGAGUACCAGCCAAACACCAUAUCUAAUGCAUUAUGCAUGUACAACUAUUAACAAUGGAUCUCUAGGCUCUUGCAUCGAUGAAGAACGCAGCAAACUGCGAAAAGUAAUGUGAACUGCAUACUUUGUGAAUCAUCGAAUCUUUGAAUGCACAUUGCACCUUUUGGUUCGCCACUAGGUAUACUUGUUUGAGUAUCACGCACAAAUGCCGCCUUUCUCUUUUGAGAGAGGCGGCCAAGUGAGAUCCAGGCGGGGGCGCCGGCUUGGGCGCCCGCCUGCUUCUUCAAAGACAUGGAAUGGGGAGUGUCUAUAGACAGCACUGAGAGUCUGGUACUACAUUAUUGGGAUAGGGAUUUCAAUAAGUUUGCCAGGCAUGUAAGGAGCCAUUCCAAGGCGUGGAGCGCGUGGGCUAGCGAGGCAGCCACGGGCAACACACGGCAAAGCAUAUGCCUUGCCAGCAUGCUGAUCUCAAAUCAAGCAAGACUACCCGCUGAACUUAAGCAUAUCAGUAAGCGGAGGAAAAGAAACUAACAAGGAUUCCCCUAGUAACGGCGAGUGAAGAGGGAACAGCUCAGAUUUGUAAUCGGCACGUCUCGGCGUGUCGACUUGUAAAUUGCAGGAUGGUCCUAUGGCAGCGACGGCAGUCCAAGUCCCUUGGAACUGGGCAUCAAAGAGGGUGAAAGUCCCGUUUUGAUUGUGGUCGGCGCCAGCACAGGGCCAUCCGACGAGUCGGAUUGCUUGGGAAUGCAGUCUAAAAUGGGUGAUACAUUUCAUCUAAAGCUAAAUAUGGGCAAGAGACCGAUAGCAAACAAGUACCGUGAGGGAAAGAUGAAAAGCACUCUGAAAAGAGAGUCAAAAGUACGUGAAAUUGUUAACAGGAAAGCGUUUGCGACCAGUGCUGCGCGCGUGCCCAAGCACGACAACCUUUGGGGAGAAGGGCGUCUAGCAUUAGCGGCAUGCGCGCAAGUCGGCUCGCGUUUGGCGUGCGGCGGCAGGCCGUGGCAAGGUGGCUCUGCAUUGCAGACGCUUUAUAGGCCGCGGGCGAGGCCGUGCGGCAGACGCGGCCAAGGCAGACAUGCAUGGAAGACCUCCAUGUAUAAGCCGACAAAAUGGUCGUCAACGACCCGUCUUGAAACACGGACCAAGGAGUCUAACAAGCAUGCGAGUAUUUGGGUGGCAAGCCUACAUGCGCAAAGAAAUUGAGUCUUCGGACGGCAUGGGAACAGCCGGAUGGUUGUGCACCAUGGGCCAGCUGCAGUCACAGACUGUGGUUGCGCCAGAGCAUGCAUGCUAGGACCCGAAAGAUGGUGAACUAUACCUGAAUAGGGUGAAGCCAGAGGAAACUCUGGUGGAAGCUCGCAGCGAUUCUGACGUGCAAAUCGAUCGUCGAAUUUGGGUAUAGGGGCGAAAGACUAAUCGAACCAUCUAGUAGCUGGUUCCCUC
rnacentral:misc_RNA from 1 species